AUCCAGCUGACGUGUCCCAAAAUAAGACGAAACGCGCGUCCUGGAU
rnacentral:hammerhead_ribozyme from 1 species